rnacentral:rRNA from 1 species
CACGUAGUUAGCCGUGGCUUUCUGGUUAGGUACCGUCAAGGUGCCGCCCUAUUCGAACGGCACUUGUUCUUCCCUAACAACAGAGUUUUACGAUCCGAAAACCUUCUUCACUCACGCGGCGUUGCUCCGUCAGACUUUCGUCCAUUGCGGAAGAUUCCCUA